AGCAGCCGCGGUAAUUCCAGCUCCAAUAGCGUAUAUUAAAGUUGUUGCAGUUAAAAAGCUCGUAGUUGAAUUUCGGAAUCUGUCCAUCGGUCGGGCUUCACUGUCCGUACUGGUGUGGUGGGUUCUUACCUUCUGAAUAACCAGCAUGCCAUUCACUUGGUGCGCUGGGGAAGCAGGACUAUUACCUUGAAAAAAUUAGAGUGCUCAAAGCAGGCUAGUGCCUGAAUACAUUAGCAUGGAAUAAUAAAAUAGGACGGCAUGGUUCUAUUUUGUUGGUUUCUAGGAUCACCGUAAUGAUUAAUAGGGAUAGUUGGGGGCAUUAGUAUUCAAUUGUCAGAGGUGAAAUUCUUGGAUUUAUUGAAGACUAACUUCUGCGAAAGCAUUUGCCAAGGAUGUUUUCAUUAAUCAAGAACGAAAGUUAGGGGAUCGAAGACGAUCAGAUACCGUCGU
rnacentral:rRNA from 1 species